rnacentral:rRNA from 1 species
UACGUAGGGUGCAAGCGUUGUCCGGAAUUAUUGGGCGUAAAGGGCUCGUAGGCGGUCCGUCACGUCGGGAGUGAAAACUUGGGGCUUAACCCCAAGCCUGCUUCCGAUACGGGCGGACUAGAGGUAGGCAGGGGAGAACGGAAUUCCUGGUGUAGCGGUGAAAUGACGCAGAUAUCAGGAGGAACACCGGUGGCGAAGGCGGUUCUCUGGGCAUUACCUGACGCUGAGGAGCGAAAGCAUGGGGAGCAAACAGG